UACGGAGGGGGCUAGCGUUGUCCGGAAUCAUUGGGCGUAAAGCGCGUGUAGGCGGCCCGGUAAGUCCGCUGUGAAAGUCGGGGGCUCAACCCUCGGAUGCCGGUGGAUACUGUCGGGCUCGAGUACGGAAGAGGCGAGUGGAAUUCCUGGUGUAGCGGUGAAAUGCGCAGAUAUCAGGAGGAACACCAAUUGCGAAGGCAGCUCGCUGGGACGUUACUGACGCUGAGACGCGAAAGCGUGGGGAGCAAACAGG
rnacentral:rRNA from 1 species